CCCUUAGAUGUUCUGGGCCGCACGCGUGCUACACUGAGUGGAUCAGCGGGUCAGGUUGCGCGAAAGCGUUUCCUAAUCUUUAAAUCCGCUCGUGAUGGGGAUUGACGGUUGCAAUUUUCUGUCAUGAACGAGGAAUACCUUGUAAGCGCGGGUCAUCAUCCCGCGCUGAAUACGUCCCUGCCCUUUGUACACACCGCCCGUCGCUCCUACCGAUUGAGUGGUCCGGUGAGGCUUUGGGAUCUGAGCGGGAAGAGCGUUUCGCUGUUUCUGCUCGGAAAACUCAGUCGAACCUUAUCAUUUAGAGGAAGGAGAAGUCGUAACA
rnacentral:rRNA from 1 species